AGCUUUGUGCAGUGGCAGUAUUGAAGCAAAUGAGGUUUAUCUGAGGAACAAUUAUUGCUAAUUAAAUAUAUAUGUAUAUUUCC
rnacentral:snRNA from 1 species